rnacentral:rRNA from 1 species
AACGAACGCUGGCGGCAUGCCUAACACAUGCAAGUCGAACGAGACCUUCGGGUCUAGUGGCGCACGGGUGCGUAACGCGUGGGAACCUGCCCUUAGGUUCGGAAUAACUCCCCGAAAGGGGUGCUAAUACCGGAUAAUGUCUUCGGACCAAAGAUUUAUCGCCUUUGGAUGGGCCCGCGUUGGAUUAGCUAGUUGGUAGGGUAAAAGCCUACCAAGGCGACGAUCCAUAGCUGGUCUGAGAGGAUGAUCAGCCACACUGGGACUGAGACACGGCCCAGACUCCUACGGGAGGCAGCAGUGGGGAAUAUUGGACAAUGGGCGAAAGCCUGAUCCAGCAAUGCCGCGUGAGUGAUGAAGGCCUUAGGGUUGUAAAGCUCUUUUACCCGGGAUGAUAAUGACAGCACCGGAAGAAUAAGCUCCGGCUAACUCCGUG